GCUGGGGAUAGGACGUAAGGCUUCAUGCAUGCUAGGUUACUUUAGCAAGAAGGUGUCAGAACACACUCUUCAAGAGCUGUUGUCUCACAGAUCAGGCCACACUCUCCUGCAGGUUCUUUCCCUUCCAGCUGCUGCUAUGAAGAGCUGACAGAACAUCUACCGCUCUUACAAAGAGUCACAUCCUCUCUCCACCUGCCACCCAGAAAUGGAAGACAACCUGCCUGAAGGACGUAGCGCAGACCACGUGUUAACCAAGCUGCUUAAUGGUGGAGGAACUCCUUCCUCUUUUGGAAGCCUUUACAAAAUUACCACCACUAGUACAAUCACUACAGAACUACCAGGAGAUGCUUUUGAAAGACCCGACUGACAGCAGGAAGGCCAUUUUAGAAAAAGAACUGUAAUCAGCCAUUCGAUAAGCCAAGAUUCUAACCCAGGUCUUGUGAAACUAGCAGUGGAAGAUAGGGCGUUUGC